AACUUCUGAAUGUUGACCUCGAAUCAGGUAGGAAUACCCGCUGAACUUAAGCAUAUCAAUAAGCGGAGGAAAAGAAACCAACAGGGAUUGCCCCAGUAACGGCGAGUGAAGCGGCAACAGCUCAAAUUUGAAAUCUGGCUCUCGGGCCCGAGUUGUAAUUUGUAGAGGAUGCUUUUGGUGAGGUGCCUUCCGAGUUCCCUGGAACGGGACGCCAUAGAGGGUGAGAGCCCCGUCUGGUUGGACACCGAUCCUCUGUAAAGCUCCUUCGACGAGUCGAGUAGUUUGGGAAUGCUGCUCUAAAUGGGAGGUAUAUGUCUUCUAAAGCUAAAUACCGGCCAGAGACCGAUAGCGCACAAGUAGAGUGAUCGAAAGAUGAAAAGAACUUUGAAAAGAGAGUUAAAAAGUACGUGAAAUUGUUGAAAGGGAAGCGCUUGUGACCAGACUUGGGCUUGGUUGAUCAUCCAGGGUUCUCCCUGGUGCACUCUUCCGGCCCAGGCCAGCAUCAGUUCGCCUCGGGGGAAAAAGGCUUCGGGAAUGUGGCUCUCUCCGGGGAGUGUUA
rnacentral:rRNA from 1 species